rnacentral:rRNA from 1 species
UACAGAGGGUGCGAGCGUUAAUCGGAAUUACUGGGCGUAAAGCGCGCGUAGGCGGCUUUGCAAGUCGGGUGUGAAAUCCCCAGGCUUAACCUGGGAACUGCAUUCGAGACUGCAUUGCUAGAGUAUGGGAGAGGGAAGUGGAAUUUCCGGUGUAGCGGUGAAAUGCGUAGAUAUCGGAAGGAACAUCAGUGGCGAAAGCGACUUCCUGGACCAAUACUGACGCUCAUGUGCGAAAGCGUGGGAGC